GUGGGGAAUAUUGGUCAAUGGGGGAAACCCUGAACCAGCAACGCCGCGUGAAGGAAGAAGGCUUUCGGGUUGUAAACUUCUUUGACAGGGGACGAAACAAAUGACGGUACCCUGAAAACAAGCCACGGCUAACUACGUGCCAGCAGCCGCGGUAAUACGUAGGUGGCAAGCGUUGUCCGGCUUUACUGGGUGUAAAGGGCGUGUAGGCGGGACGGUAAGUCAGAUGUGAAAUGUAGGGGCUCAACCCCUGAACUGCAUUUGAAACUAUCGUUCUUGAGUGAUGGAGAGGCAGGCGGAAUUCCGUGUGUAGCGGUGAAAUGCGUAGAUAUACGGAGGAACACCAGUGGCGAAGGCGGCCUGCUGGACAUUAACUGACGCUGAGGCGCGAAAGCGUGGGGAGCAAACAGGAUUAGAUACCCCGGUAGUCC
rnacentral:rRNA from 1 species